CGAAACUGACUCAACACAUCAUCACUUGUCGUUGGACAGAGCCUGUGUUGGGUUAUUAUCAACCAUGCCUUACCCUCAAAAGUAAGAGUACUCUUCUUUAUCUACUGCGAAUCACCAAUACCACCUAUAACCUAAGUUGUAUGCUCACCCUACAUAGCUAUCCUCUUAGUCAUCCAUCUGAACAUUGUUAUUUUAUUAUCAUAUCCCAAUGUUUGGUUGGUGAUAUUUCUCAUCUCUG
rnacentral:lncRNA from 1 species